rnacentral:lncRNA from 1 species
UUUUUUUUUUUUUGGUUCUUUUUUUUGGAGCUGGGGACCGAACCCAGGGCCUUGCGCUUCCUAGGUAAGCGCUCUACCACUGAGCUAAAUCCCCUCCCCAACAGGCCUCUGUCCAGGCAAUGCUAGGUUUGAAUGGGCUGUGGGUUUGUUUCUGGUUUCUUUUUUGGAGACAGGGUUUCUCUGUGUAGCCUUCUCUGUCUUGGAACUUGCUCUGUAGGCCAGGCUGGCCUUGAAUUCAGGAUCUGCCUCCCUCUGCCUCCCUAGUACUGGGAUUAAAGGUGUGUGCCACCACCCGCCUAGGUUUUGUUUUUUAACCGGGUCCAGUGCUGCACAGGCUAGCCUACCACUUCCUAUGUAUUCAAGAACAGCCUGGAUCCUCCUGCCCCAACCUCCACGGUGCUGAGUUGAUGUACAUGUGCCACCACAGUCAAGCUUAGCGGUGUUUGUCCCUAUCAGAAUUUGUGCAGCUUGGUUGUGUCCCCAAGUUGUGAACUGGAACUCUGUGGUGGUCUGAACGAGAACAACCCCUGUGGGCUAUUGAAAUGCUUGGUUCCGAAUUGCUGGAACCGUUUGAGAGGGAUUGUUGGGGGAGGUGUGUCACUGGGCGGGGGUGGGCUUGGUAGUUUCAAAAGCCAUGCCUGGGGUUGGGGAUUUAGCUCAGUGGUAGAGCGCUUGCCUAGGAAGCGCAAGGCCCUGGGUUCAGUCCCCAGCUCUGAAAAAA